rnacentral:SRP_RNA from 1 species
CAUGAGCAAUGUUCCGUACUACUUGCCUGGCCAGGCUCGGGCAGGCCGAGGGCUGAAGUAC